UCACAAUAAGUGUUUAUGGCACUUUUAACAAUUCCAUACCCACCUUGUGUGCAACGUUUGAAUCUACUUACGCGUGCUUCUCUCUUUCGAGUGGGCCGCGUAAGUCAGAAUCUUUAAUCCAUUAAUCUAUUUAAAACAGUUUUGUCUGAAGCAAUGUAUCAUUGAAUUGACCUAAUUCGAAAAUACAACUUUCAACAACGGAUCUCUUGGCUCUCGCAUCGAUGAAGAACGCAGCGAAAUGCGAUACGUAAUGUGAAUUGCAGAAUUCAGUGAAUCAUCGAAUCUUUGAACGCACAUUGCGCUCUCUGGUAUUCCGGAGAGCAUGCUUGUUUGAGUAUCAGUAAAACACCCUCAGUUCUCUCGUUUUUCGAGGGAAUUGGACUUGAGCGAUCCCAACGGCGGUUUAAAAACCGCUGGCGGGUCGCUUGAAAUGCAGGUGCGGCUGGACACUUCUUCUGAGCUAUAAGCAUUACUUAUUUAGUCCCGUCAAACGGAUUAUUUCUAUUGCUGCAGCUAACAUAAAGGUUGAUUGUCCUGUGCCCGACUGAUGCAGGAAAACAAAGAGAAAUCUUUGUUCAACUCGAUCUCAAAUCAAGUAAGACUACCCGCUGAA
rnacentral:rRNA from 1 species